GACGAACGCUGGCGGCGUGCCUAAUACAUGCAAGUUGAGCGCUGAAGGUUGGUACUUGUACCAACUGGAUGAGCAGCGAACGGGUGAGUAACGCGUGGGGAAUCUGCCUUUGAGCGGGGGACAACAUUUGGAAACGAAUGCUAAUACCGCAUAAAAACUUUAAACACAAGUUCUAAGUUUGAAAGAUGCAAUUGCAUCACUCAAAGAUGAUCCCGCGUUGUAUUAGCUAGUUGGUGAGGUAAAGGCUCACCAAGGCGAUGAUACAUAGCCGACCUGAGAGGGUGAUCGGCCACAUUGGGACGGAGACACGGCCCAAACUCCUACGGGAGGCAGCAGUAGGGAAUCUUCGGCAAUGGACGAAAGUCUGACCGAGCAACGCCGCGUGAGUGAAGAAGGUUUUCGGAUCGUAAAACUCUGUUGGUAGAGAAGAACGUUGGUGAGAGUGGAAAGCUCAUCAAGUGACGGUAACUACCCAGAAAGGGACGGCUAACUACGUG
rnacentral:rRNA from 1 species